rnacentral:rRNA from 1 species
UACGUAGGGUGCAAGCGUUGUCCGGAAUUAUUGGGCGUAAAGAGCUCGUAGGCGGUCUGUCGCGUCCGCUGUGAAAAUCCAGGGCUCAACCCUGGACCUGCAGUGGGUACGGGCAGACUAGAGUGCGGUAGGGGAGAUCGGAAUUCCUGGUGUAGCGGUGAAAUGCGCAGAUAUCUGGAGGAACACCGGUGGCGAAGGCGGACGUCUGG